GACGAACGCUGGCGGCGUGCUUAACACAUGCAAGUCGAACGGACUACUUUGCUUCGGUAAGGUGGUUAGUGGCGAACGGGUGAGUAACGCGUAGACAACCUACCUCUUAGAUGGGGACAACAUCGCGAAAGCGGUGCUAAUACCGAAUGAAGUGACUUUCCUGCAUGGGAGAGAUACUAAAGGUGGCCUCUAUUUAUAAGCUACCACUGAGAGAUGGGUCUGCGUCUGAUUAGCUAGUUGGCGGAGUAACGGCCCACAAAGGCGACGAUCAGGAGCCGGUGUGAGAGGAUGAACGGACACAUUGGGACUGAGACACGGACCAAACUCCUACGGGAGGCAGCAGUUGGGAAUCUUCCGCAAUGGACGAAAGUCUGACGGAGCAACGCCGCGUGAGUGAAGAAGGUUUUCGGAUCGUAAAGCUCUGUUGUUUGAGACGAAUGUGCCUGUUUCGAAUAGGGAUAGGUAAUGACGGUAUUAAACGAGAAAGCCACGGCUAACUACGUGCCAGCCGCCGCCGUAA
rnacentral:rRNA from 1 species